rnacentral:rRNA from 1 species
CGAUUAGAGUUUGAUCCUGGCUCAGGAUGAACGCUGGCGGCGUGCUUAACACAUGCAAGUCGAACGAGCCUUCGGGCUAGUGGCGGACGGGUGAGUAACGCGUGAGAAUCUGCCCUCAGGAGGGGGAUAACGGCUGGAAACGGCCGCUAAUACCCCAUAUGCCGCGAGGUGAAAUGAGAAAUCGCCUGAGGAUGAGCUCGCGUCUGAUUAGCUAGUUGGUGGGGUAAGAGCCUACCAAGGCAUCGAUCAGUAGCUGGUCUGAGAGGAUGAUCAGCCACACUGGGACUGAGACACGGCCCAGACUCCUACGGGAGGCAGCAGUGGGGAAUUUUCCGCAAUGGGCGCAAGCCUGACGGAGCAACGCCGCGUGAGGGAUGAAGGCCUCUGGGCUGUAAACCUCUUUUCUCAAGGAAGAAGAACUGACGGUACUUGAGGAAUAAGCCACGGCUAAUUCCGUGCCAGCAGCCGCGGUAAUACGGGAGUGGCAAGCGUUAUCCGGAAUUAUUGGGCGUAAAGCGUCCGCAGGCGGUCUUGAAAGUCUGUUGUUAAAGCGUGGAGCUCAACUCCAUUCCAGCAAUGGAAACUAGAAGACUAGAGUGUGGUAGGGGCAGAGGGAAUUCCCGGUGUAGCGGUGAAAUGCGUAGAUAUCGGGAAGAACACCAGUGGCGAAGGCGCUCUGCUGGGCCAUAACUGACGCUCAUGGACGAAAGCCAGGGGAGCGAAAGGGAUUAGAUACCCCUGUAGUCCUGGCCGUAAACGAUGAACACUAGGUGUCGGGGGAAUCGACCCCCUCGGUGUCGUAGCCAACGCGUUAAGUGUUCCGCCUGGGGAGUACGCACGCAAGUGUGAAACUCAAAGGAAUUGACGGGGGCCCGCACAAGCGGUGGAGUAUGUGGUUUAAUUCGAUGCAACGCGAAGAACCUUACCAGGGUUUGACAUCCUGCGAAUCUUUUGGAAACAGAAGAGUGCCUUCGGGAGCGCAGAGACAGGUGGUGCAUGGCUGUCGUCAGCUCGUGUCGUGAGAUGUUGGGUUAAGUCCCGCAACGAGCGCAACCCACGUCUUUAGUUGCCAGCAUUGAGUUGGGCACUCUAGAGAGACCGCCGGUGAUAAACCGGAGGAAGGUGUGGAUGACGUCAAGUCAUCAUGCCCCUUACAUCCUGGGCUACACACGUACUACAAUGCUACGGACAGAGGGCAGCAAACUCGCGAGAGCUAGCAAAUCCCAUAAACCGUGGCUCAGUUCAGAUCGUAGGCUGCAACUCGCCUACGUGAAGGAGGAAUCGCUAGUAAUCGCAGGUCAGCAUACUGCGGUGAAUACGUUCCCGGGCCUUGUACACACCGCCCGUCACACCAUGGAAGUUGGCCAUGCCCGAAGUCGUUACUCCAACCCUUGUGGAGGAGGACGCCGAAGGUGGGGCUGAUGACUGGGGUGAAGUCGUAACAAGGUAGCCGUAG